GUGGGGAAUAUUGGACAAUGGGCGCAAGCCUGAUCCAGCCAUGCCGCGUGAGUGAUGAAGGCCUUAGGGUUGUAAAGCUCUUUCACCGAUGAAGAUAAUGACGGUAGUCGGAGAAGAAGCCCCGGCUAACUUCGUGCCAGCAGCCGCGGUAAUACGAAGGGGGCUAGCGUUGUUCGGAUUUACUGGGCGUAAAGCGCACGUAGGCGGUUUGUUAAGUCAGAGGUGAAAUCCCGGAGCUCAACUCCGGAACUGCCUUUGAUACUGGCAAGCUAGAGUCCGGAAGAGGUAAGUGGAACUCCUAGUGUAGAGGUGGAAUUCGUAGAUAUUAGGAAGAACACCAGUGGCGAAGGCGGCUUACUGGUCCGGAACUGACGCUGAGGUGCGAAAGCGUGGGGAGCAAACAGGAUUAGAAACCCCGGUAGUCC
rnacentral:rRNA from 1 species